AAUUGUAUAAUAUAAAACAAAAUUAAGUAUAUAUUGUUUACAACAAUAAAGAGAAUAAAAUUUUCUACAAUUUUAUUUAAAUUUU
rnacentral:tRNA from 1 species